rnacentral:rRNA from 1 species
AACGAACGCUGGCGGCAGGCUUAACACAUGCGAGUCGAGCGCCCCGCCAGGGGAGCGGCCGACGGGUGAGUAACGCGUGGGAACGUACCUUUUGGUUCGGAACAACUCCGGGAAACUGGAGCUAAUACCGGAUAAGCCCUAACGGGGAAAGAUUUAUCGCCGAAAGAUCGGCCCGCGUCUGAUUAGCUAGUUGGUGAGGUAACGGCUCACCAAGGCGACGAUCAGUAGCUGGUCUGAGAGGAUGAUCAGCCACACUGGGACUGAGACACGGCCCAGACUCCUACGGGAGGCAGCAGUGGGGAAUAUUGGACAAUGGGCGCAAGCCUGAUCCAGCCAUGCCGCGUGAGUGAUGAAGGCCUUAGGGUUGUAAAGCUCUUUUGUCCGGGAAGAUAAUGACUGUACCGGAAGAAUAAGCCCCGGCUAACUUCGUG